ensembl:snRNA U6 U6 spliceosomal RNA
GUGCUUGCUAUGGCGGCACAUAGACUAAAAUUGGACCAAUACAGAGAAGACUCACAAGGCCUCUGUGCAAGGAUGGCACGCAAGUUCAGGAAGCAUUCCAUACUUUU